rnacentral:rRNA from 1 species
AAUAUUGCACAAUGGGCGCACGCUUGAUGCAGCCAUGCCGCGUGUAUGAAGAAGGCGUUCGGGUUGUAAGGUACUUUCAGUCGUGAGGAAGUCGUUGAAGUUAAUAGCCUCAUCGUAUGACGUCAGCGACAGAAGAAGCACCGGCUAACUCCGUGCCAGCAGCCGCGGUAAUACGGAGGGUGCGAGCGUUAAUCUGAAUUACUGGGCGUAAAGCGCAUGCAGGUGGUUUGUUAAGUCAGAUGUGAAAGCCCGGGGCUCAACCUCGGAACCGCAUUAGAAACUGGCAGGCUAGAGUACUGUAGAGGGGGGUAGAAUAUCAGGUGUAGCGGUGAAAAGAGUAGAGAUUUGAAGGAAUACCAGCGGCGAAGGCGGCCCCCUGACAGAUACUGACACUCAGAUGCGAAAGCGUGUGAGCAAACAGGAUUAGAUACACUGGUAGUCCACGCCGUA